CUAUUGCUAAACUUCCAAUGAAAGCUUACAACUUUAAAAGUAUAAAAGAUAUUGUUAGUGGCAAUUUUAUUCCUGACUUGCUUAUAGACUUGAUUGGUGUCGUUGAGAAUGUGAGAAUUAAGCCUCAGUUUAAAAGUGUAGAGUC